CAAGAACAAACACACCUGAGAGACACGAGAGGACACGGAUCUGCUCCGCAACCAACGCAGUGUGUUUCUGAAGAGGACAGAGUAACAGCAGAACGAGAAACUCCACGUGAGCCGACAGUGAGUACAGACACACACAGACUUUCACUAAAACAUUAUAAUGCUUAACAGAUCAACAGUAUGUAUUUUACAUCAAAUAUGAAUAUUUAUGAAAUAUGUACAUCAGUUUCAUGACUACUGUAAUGUAUAUGAAGUAAUAAUGAUGUAAUGUUAUAAUGUUUGUUAAUGAGACACACACA
rnacentral:lncRNA from 1 species